CAAGGGAAAGAAUAAACUUGGUAGAAAACUGUUGGGAGAGAAUAUUAACGACCUCCUAAUACCCAUUAAAACAACAAUCACGAAGGCCCAGACCCACCUGCGAUGAUGAAGACUGCCAUCGGCCCAACAUGAGAGGGGAGCGCCCCGCUCUGCCUCGCCCGACCCAGAGCCCCGGGGUCGGAAACCCUGACCCCUUGACGGCCAGACUCCGCCUCACCCGACCCGCAGUCCCAGGGUCGGGAGCGCCCGACCCCUCGCCGCAAGACUCCGCCUCGCCCGACCCAGGGCGUAGGGGGUCGGACUCAUCCGGGCCCACAAGACAAGAAUCCACCUCGGGCGCAGACUGGAAGAUAAGAGUGCGGAUCUCGUGGGCCUCCCGCCGAUCUCACCAUAAAUGCGCCACGGCUCUAGCGCGCAGAAAGGUGCCCGCGCCCCCGACGUGUCCCGCCACAAGUACCCAAGCACGGCCGCACAGCACAGGCUACAGUGGCCGUGGCUCUCCCUGAUUCGCUGCCAGGCACUCAUGCCCUGCGCCACCCGGCACAGGAAGAAGCCCCGCCCGUCUUGCGCCCCGCGCAUCCGACGACAGGGACGCGACGUCCGUUUCCCACGGGCCAUCAGCAAGAUAACAAGAUCAGCCACCUCCCCCCGAUGUGCACAGUCACCACGACUGAACACCACCAUCAUGUUUGGCGGCAAUGGUCACCGGGGAGAUCGUUGACAGGAUCCGAGGGCAGCCGCCCUCCCCCGGGGGACGCGCUGAUAGGAUCUAAGGGCUGGAGUAGGAGACGGCGGCCCUUGGACUUGAUUUUUCUCCUUGUAUUACUUAGCUUAUCUCUUUUUUACUUCUCCUCACACCCGGUCUCACCUGUAACCCCGGCGUCCUCCUUGUGUUAUAAAAGGAGAACUAGGGGCCUGAGACAGGGGAACUCUCUCUCUCGAAAAAUAGAACACACACACUCUCCUUCAGAGCAUCAGUGCACACCCAAGAGACUUGGGACCAGCUCCCUCUCUCGCCCACCUAUAACCCCUACUACAGACCCCGCGUGGGCAACACGAGCAGCACCUCAUACUGGACGUAGGGCUUUUCCUUGCCGGAACCAGUCUAAACCCCGUGUCUCCCACGCCACCAUCUGAAGCCUUACGCGCAUAAAAGAAAUUUUACUAGUCUUAGUCUUGAUCGGCUAAUCUUGACAACGACAGUUGGCGCGCCAGGUAGGGGACCUUUGCGCGUACAUCACUGGCUUCAGAUGCCCAGCCGCGACGCCAGCUUCGCUCCGGGCUCCCUCGUCCGCUUCGGGAGCUUGGACUUCCUCACCACGGGGGAGGGGAUCGAGCUGAUCCCUCUCCUUGUCUUGCCCGCUUGCCCCGUCAUUUCUGGCUCCGCCACCGGGAUAGUGACGAGCGGCCGGGCGCGCGCCACGGGGCCCCCCUUCGGAGGAGUGGCCCUUCGGGCUGCGCAAUGCCGUGGCGACCUACGGUCGCUGCCUGGCAUGGUCCAUGACCGUGCCGCCCACGAGCAACGAGCUCGUGGGCGUGGCAAGGACAACCUCCAACAUCGGCUUGAACAACGAGAGCUACCGCCCCUCGUGCGAGUGCUUCAUGGCCGAAGUGCACUCCGAGGGAUCCAACGACAACGGCGCCGAAGGGAAGCAGCGCACUCCCUCACCGCGCACCGCAGCUACAACUGAGGCCCUUGCCAGGGUCUCGGUGCGGCCACGACAGCCGGAGGCGCGCGCGACGCCCCAUCAGGAGGACGAGCACCGCCGCAACAAGAGCGGGGCACGUCGUCGGGCCCGUGAUGUCCAGCGGCGCAUCUGCAGGGACGAGGGUCAUCCCCAAAUCUUCGCACGCGCCAGCCAGAACGUCGCCGCCGCGGCAGCCCUACUCCAACGACUCCCCGAGCCGGCAACGCUCGAGGAGCGACAGGCCCACCAGGAGGUACGCGACUUGCUUGAGUGUGCAGCAGUUCAGCAGGCAGAAAGCUCCACAUCCCGGCAACGCAGACACGGCACCAGCAGGGUCACACCCUCCGCGCCUCUCGAGAGGUGUGGAGGAUCUGUCCAUCAACCUUCCUCCCACGGGGGAAACCGGGCCUCGCCUAUUCGACGGACUCCACCACACGCGGGCGACGGGGCUUCGUCUGUCCACCGCCGCGUCGGCCCCAUCCAUGACGCCUUGGAUGCGCCGUGCGGAUAGGGAGGACAGAGCCGACCGCGGCUACCGCGUACCCCAUGUUGGUCGCCACGACGGCGGAAAAGAUCGGAGCCCGAGCCCCGACCUAACGGGGCCUAGGGCCUGCUCCACGCGCAUCCUGAAUGCGCUGUUCCCAGUGCGCUUCUGACAGCCCACCAAUGUGGAUAAAUACUCUGGGAGACGAACCCCGGGCCUUGGCUCAGCAACUACCGGCUUUCCUGUCAGGCCGGCAGAGCGGAUGACAACCUGUUCGUCAUUCGCAACCUCCCAAUGUUCUUGGCCGACUUGGCGCGAGCCUGGCUGGAACACGUUUCGUCAGGUCAGAUCCGUAACUGGAAUGACUUGAAAGAAAUCUUUGUAGGGAACUUCCAGGGCACAUAAAUGCACCCCAGGAACUCCUGGGACCUCCAGAGCUGCCGCCAGGGGUCGGGUGAGACUCUCCGAGAGUACAUCCGACGUUUCUCCAGGAAGCGCACCGACUCUCCAACAUCGCCGACGCCAAUGUCAUCGGGGCCUUCCUGGCGGGGACCUCCUGUAGGUCUCUGGUCCACGAACUGGGAUGUGUAGGCCCAUGGACCACCAAGGAGCUUCUCGACAUCGCUGCCAACUUUGCCUCGGGCGAGGAGGCCGUCGGGGCGAUAUUCGAUCGCUCCAAGGGCAAGGCAAAGAGGGAGGAGGAUGCCGACGAAGGUGCCUCCAAUCGCCAGAAGAAGAAAAAGGCCGCGGCAGAACCCCGAAGGCUGCGGAGGGGCUCAAGCAUGACAAUGGACGAAGACGAUGACGAUGAUGAUGAGGAUGAUGAUGAAGAAAGCUCUUUCGCUCUCUAAGGAGCGCGCGGCAAACGAAAUACGAACCGCCGCAUCUACUGCGAUGUCAGGUACAUCCCGUCACCUCCGUCUUUCUCCGGAAAUCAUACGCACGAUCUCUUUUUAACCGCAGGGAACACCACGCCUCUUUACCCCAUGAGUUCGGUGUUUUCUACCGCUUCGACUCCCGGAGAUCAUAUGCACAACUUUCUCUGCAAGCGGACUAGGGCCCGCUUCAGGUAAAAAAGGGAUAUAGAGCUGAAAACGCUCUUACGGCCCAUUACGGUCCAGGGGUUCGAAGGCUAGCCCUCCAGAGGGUUCGACAGCCGCCCCAGGACAUCCCCUGAGCAAGGGGUGAGAAGGGACGGGUCCGCUAGCGGCCACCACCUAGGCGAGCAAAAGCCAAGGGCGUCCCGACCUCACGUUCCAGUCCGGGCUAGCGUCUAAGUUCAUGGUGUUUCCCCGAAGAAAGGCAACGAGCCCCCGAAUCCGAUCGAAUGGACUUGGGAACUAUAUGAAUUGGCUAGCCGGAAUCUGGAGUACGCCACCAGCUUGGCUCGAGCCGGACCCCCCCCCCAAACGGGGACUGGGACUCCACUCGAACUGACCCGUUCGCAGCUCAACGAGCACCACGGUUCGUCCAACGAGGAUAGCGUGGCACGGCUCACCCCCUCCGUCUUAGCGAACGGACGCUUGAGGGGUAACGAUCAAAAGCCGAUCUAGCCUCCCGAUCAGUCUCCUGCAACGCGCGGGGGCUCAGGGGCUAGCGUUGCAUCCAAUGACCAUGCGUGUGGUCGCGGUUUGAGGUCUCGAGGCGAGGGCGUCCUAAGGAACAACGAGAAUCUUCUCGCGCCAAGACACCCACAGGGCGCUCGGCCUGGACAACCUCCUCGGCCAAACUGAACAAACAACACUUCCCAUCCCUGAUUAACUGCAGCUUGCACGACAAGCAGAGAUCCCCAACGGACGACGAUAGCAGCCUCUGGAGGAGCGUCCCCGCUCCACCACAGGCUCAGGGGCUCCUGUUGGGGGGAAAUAUUAACGACCUCCUAAUGCCAAUUAAAACAACAAUCACAAAGGCCCAGGCCCACCUACGGUGAUGAAGGCUGCCGUCGGCCCAACAUGAGAGGGGAGUGCCCCGCUCCGCCUCGCCCGACCCGGAGCCCCGGGGUCGGACGCCCCCGACCCCUUGACGGCCAAACUUUGCCUCGUCCGACCCACGGUCCCAGGGUUGGGAGCACCCGUCCCCUCACCGCAAGACUCCGCCUCGCCCGACCCAGGGCGUAGGGGGUUGGACUCAUCUGGGCCCCACAAGACAAGAAUCCACCUCGGGCGCAGACUGGAAGAUAAGAGUGCGGAUCUCGUGGGCCUCCCGCCGAUCUCGCCAUAAAUGCGCCGCGGCUCUGGCGUGCAGAAAGGCGCCCGCGCCCCCGACGUGACCCGCCACAAGUACCCAAGCACGGCCGCACAGCACAGGCUACAAUGGCCGUGGCUCUCCCUGAUUCGCUGCCAGGCACUCAUGGCCUACGCCGCCCGGCACAGGAAGAAGCCCCGCCCGUCUCGCGCCCCGUGCAUCCGACGACAGGGACGCGACGUCCGUGUCCCACAGGCCAUCAGCAAGAUAACAGGAUCAGCCGCCUCCCCCCGACGUGCACAGUCACCAAGACCGAACAUCACCAUCAUGUUUGGCGGCAAUGGUCACCGGGGAGAUCGUCGACAGGAUCCGAGGGCAGCCGUUCUCCCCCGGGGGACGCGCUGACAGGAUCUGAGGGCUGGAGUAGGAGACGGCGGCCCUUGGACUUGAUUUUUCUCCUUGUAUUACUUAGCUUAUCUCUUUUUUACUUCUCCUCACACCCGGUCUCACCUGUAACCCCGACGUCCUCCUUGUGUUAUAAAAGGAGAACCAGGGGCCUGAGACAGGGGAACUCUCUCUCGAGAAAAAUAGAACACACACACUCUCC
rnacentral:lncRNA from 1 species